rnacentral:rRNA from 1 species
AAUCAACGCUGGCGGCGUGCCUAACACAUGCAAGUCGAGCGCGAAAGGGGAGCAAUCCCCAAGUAGAGCGGCGAACGGGUGAGUAACGCGUGGGCAAUCUACCUCUGAGUGGGGAACAACAGCGGGAAACUGCUGCUAAUACCGCAUGACAUCGUCGAGCCUUCGGGCCUGACGAUCAAAGCCGGGGACCGCAAGGCCUGGCGCUUGGAGACGAGCCCGCGUCCGAUUAGCUAGUUGGCGGGGUAAUGGCCCACCAAGGCUCCGAUCGGUAGCCGGCCUGAGAGGGCGGACGGCCACACUGGGACUGAGACACGGCCCAGACUCCUACGGGAGGCAGCAGUGGGAAUUUUUCGCAAUGGGGAAACCCUGACGAAGCAACGCCGCGUGGAGGAUGAAGGCC